GACGAACGCUGGCGGCGUGCUUAACACAUGCAAGUCGAACGGAAAGGGCUAUUUCGGGGGGUACUCGAGUGGCGAACGGGUGAGUAACACGUAAGUAACCUGCCCUUGACUUUGGGAUAACUUCAGGAAACUGGGGCUAAUACCGGAAAGGAGCUCCUGCUGCAUGGUGGGGGCUGGAAAGUUUCGGCGGUUUGAGAUGGCCUCGCGGCUUAUCAGCUUGUUGGUGGGGAAGUGGCAUAAAAAGGCCUUGCCGGGUAGCCGGCCUGAGAGGGUGACCGGCCACAUUGGGACUGAGGGAGGGCCCAGACUCCUACGGUAGGCAGCGGUGGGAAAUAUUGCACAAUGGUGGGACGCCUGAUGCAGCAACGCCGUGAGCGUGAUGCCGGCCUACUUGUGGUAAACCGCUUUCGCUCAUUACGUUGCUUUGUGUGACGUUAGUGGGUAAAGAAGCACCGCCUACUUCCGU
rnacentral:rRNA from 1 species